GGGAACAUAACCUUUGUUCUCUAGUGAAUUAGUUCACCCAACACCACCAUUGUACUCUCCCCUACCCACAAACCCAACCAUAGUACCUGUUCCUCAAGAUUCAAACUCGAGAUAUUGAUUCAACUAGCUCUAACACGGAGCAACUUUCCCAGUGACUUUCUCGCCAAUUCUAGCCAAGAUCAACGAGGGAAAAAUUUCUCAAUUUUCGAUGAGAAAACCGAAGGCCGACGAUGUGACGGCCAGAAUCACCAUGUGUUUGUUGCUACCACUGUGUUCGUAUUGAUACCUGGAGUCGGAAUAUGUCCUAGGAUCAGACAUCGAAGCAACAAUGGUGCCGCAGCAAGCAGAAACGUGAAUCCAGCCAAAAUCUCCAAUUUCUGGCGGGUUGCAGCGGCACCUUGAAUCGAAUCAACCCGACCUGAACCUCAGUCCAAAUCCGCCAACCUGACAAUUCGAAUCCGACAACCCGAUCGACUUGACUAUCUGUUCCUAACCAUUUUGACCCGACGACCCAACCCAUUUUCGACUCGAGGUCAAAAUAUUCGAAGGCAUAUUCUUCACAAUAUUUUCUUUAAUACAAAAAGAAUAUUUCGUUUGGUCACAGAAUAUUCCUUUGUCGGUGACGGAAUAUUCCAAUUUCGGCGAUCGCCUCAGCCACCGGCGUGUAGAAGCCUGUGACAGCACGUGCCGAUGAGUGAAGGCGUGUGCCGCCGCAUGCCAACUUCCUAUCGACGCAUGAUAGCUUAUGAUGGCGUAUGGCGGUAGAGGUAUGUUUUCGGACACUGAAUAUGGUAUUUCAAGCUCUGUAUUUCAAUACUCUAUGAAAUAUUCAAUUACAUUGCUAAGUAAAGGUUGUUUUCACUUUGGGAACGUGAUCACGUGGAUUACAAAGAGUGUGCACGGCAAGGCGACUAUGAUCAUACGGUGUGUGAGUGGGCUUUUCCUUCUAAAUUAUAUCAUAUUAUAUGUUUUCCAAAUUGGUUUGAUGAUGCUUUUAUAUCAUGCUUCACUUUGCUUUUACUUAGAUUAUGCAAAUGCUUUAUGUGUUGACGACGAUGUGAUUUAUGAGCAUUGUGAACUUUUCUUUGAAAUUUUUUUUCACUGUGCUUCACUCUGGUAUUUGAAAUGCUUGAUGCGUUAUUAUGAUUUUGUGACACUUGUGAUUUGAGAUAUUAUCAUGGCCUGAUUACUUUACUGCUUUGUUUUUCAUACUUAUAUAUAGUAUGAUUUUGACAUACAUGCGGGUCUUUACAGUAAGGGGUUAGUAUGUUCGAAAAAGAAAUGAAUUUUAGAAAUCUUUAUUUUGCCCACUCGCAUCUUUUUCUUUUGCACCCCUCCAAGAUUUAGAAGGCUUUGGAGCUCUUGACGUCGAGGUGUGGUGGUAUAAUCUUCCCUCAUCAGUGUAGGGAUUAUUCUUAGCAAUCAUGUAAUUAACAUCUUCGUAUGUGUUACAUUUGUUUACUUUCAUUGUAGAUAUUUAGAUUCUCUAAUAUCAAUUUGGUAUAUCUGGUUUCCAUUACA